rnacentral:rRNA from 1 species
UACGUAGGGUGCGAGCGUUGUCCGGAAUUAUUGGGAGUAAAGAGCUCGUAGGCGGUUUGUCGCGUCGGCCGUGAAAACUUGGGGCUUAACCCCAAGCCUGCGGUCGAUACGGGCAGACUUGAGUUCGGCAGGGGAGACUGGAAUUCCUGGUGUAGCGGUGAAAUGCGCAGAUAUCAGGAGGAACACCGGUGGCGAAGGCGGGUCUCUGGGCCGAUACUGACGCUGAGGAGCGAAAGCGUGGGGAGCGAACAGG